rnacentral:rRNA from 1 species
UUUAGCCUUGGUAGCCUUCUGUAGACCCGAAACCGGGUGAUUUAGCCAUGAGCAGGUUGAAGUUGAGGUGAAACUCAAUGGAGGACCGAACCGACCACCGUUGAAAAGUUGGCGGAUGACUUGUGGCUAGCGGAGAAAUUCCAAUCGAACCCGGAGAUAGCUGGUUCUCCCCGAAAUAGCUUUAGGGCUAGCGUCGGAAUGAACCCAUGUGAAGGUAGAGCACUGAAUGUGUGAUGGCCCCAUCCCGGGGUACUGAAUACAAUCAAACUCCGAAUGUCAUGUGGGAUGUCCGGCAGUCAGACUGUGAGUGAUAAGGUCCAUGGUCGAGAGGGAAACAGCCCAGACCGCCAGUUAAGGUCCCAAAAUGCAGGCUAAGUGGAAAAGGAUGUGGGGAUGCCCAGACAACUAGGAGGUUGGCUCAGAAGCAGCCACCCUUUAAAGAGUGCGUAACAGCUCACUAGUCGAGUGACCCUGCGCCGAAAAUGUACCGGGGCUAAGCCUGAUACCGAAACUGCGGAAUCGAAUGAUUGGUAGGGGAGCGUUGUAUACGGGUGGAAGCCGUACCGUGAGGAGCGGUGGACUGUAUAGAAGUGAGAAUGCCGGUGUGAGUAGCGAGAUGUAGGUGAGAAUCCUACACACCGAAAGCCCAAGGAUUCCAGGGGAAGGUUCGUCCGCCCUGGGUAAGUCGGGACCUAACGCGAGGCCGAAAGGCGUAGUGGAUGGAAAGCAGGCGGAGAUUCCUGCACCCGUAUGUGGAGCGAUGGAGUGACGGAGACGGCUAAUGUGACCCUCUUAACGGAUUGAGGGCGAAGCGGGGUAGCGGUCGACCAGGCAAAUCCGGUCGGCAAAACGCGAAGACGUGACAGGGAAGCGAACGCUUUGGCAAGUAGCGAAGCACAUGAGGCCGGCUUCCAAGAAAAGCUUCUAGCAAUGCACAUGCGGCCCGUACCAAAACCGACACAGGUGGGCAGGUAGAGGAUACCAAGGUGAGCGAGAGAACUGUUGCCAAGGAACUCGGCAAAAUGGCUCCGUACGUUCGCAAGAAGGAGCGCUUAUGAAAAUAAGCCGCAGUGAAUAGGCCCAAGCGACUGUUUAACUAAAACACAGCUCUCUGCGAAGUCGCAAGACGAAGUAUAGGGGGUGACACCUGCCCGGUGCCGGAAGGUUAAGAGGAUCUGUCAAUCGCAAGAUGAAGCAGUGAGUUGAAGCCCCGGUGAACGGCGGCCGUAACUAUAACGGUCCUAAGGUAGCGAAAUUCCUUGUCAGGUAA